ACACGACUACAUUAGAUACCCCUGUAGUCCAGGGUGCAAACGCUGCGGGCUUGGUGUUGGGGGUCCUUUGAGGGCGCCCAGUGCCGGAGAGAAGUUGUUAAGCCUGCUGCUUGGGGAGUACGUCCGCAAGGAUGAAACUUAAAGGAAUUGGCGGGGGAGCACCGCAACGGGAGGAGCGUGCGGUUCAAUUGGAUUCAACGCCGGACAACUCACCAGGAGCGACGGUUACAUGAAGGCCAGGCUGAUGACCUUGCCUGAUUUUCCG
rnacentral:rRNA from 1 species